rnacentral:rRNA from 1 species
AGGACGAACGCUUGCGGCGUGCCUAAGAAAUGCAAGUCGAACGGGAUUAGUAGCAAUACUAUUCUAGUGGCGAACGGUCGCGUAACACGUAGGCAACCUGCCCAAAAGUGGGGGACAACAACCUGAAAGGGUUGCUAAUACCGCAUGUGGCCCUUUGGUGGCAUCACCGAUGGUCUAAAGGUUUAUGCGCUUUUGGAUGGGCUUGCGGCCUAUCAGGUAGUUGGUGGGGUAAUGGCCUACCAAGCCGACGACGGGUAGCUGGUCUGAGAGGACGAUCAGCCGGAUUGGGACUGAGAUACGGCCCAGACUCCUACGGGGGGCAGCAAUUAGGAAUCUUGCGCAAUGGGGGCAACCCUGACGCAGCGACGCCGCGUGCGGGAUGAAGGCAUUCGUGUCGUAAACCGCUUUUUACGGGGAAGAGAAUUUGACGGUACCCGUCGAAUAAGCCCCGGCUAACUACGUGCCAGCAGCCGC